rnacentral:rRNA from 1 species
GUUAAAAAGCUCGUAGUUGGAUCUCGGCGGGCAGGGGGUGGUUCGCUCUUCAGCGCUACUGCCCCGCUUUGCCCGUGUGAUUGGCGGAGGUUUCGGGGUGCUCUUCGUUGAGUGACUCGGAGCGCCGUCAGGUUUACUUUGAAAAAAUUAGAGUGCUCAAAGCAGGCUUUUCACGCUUGAAUAUUCGUGCAUGGAAUAAUGGAAUAGGAACUCGUUUCUAUUUUGUUGGUUUUCGGAAAUCGAGUUAAUGAUUAACAGGGACAAUUGGGGGCAUUAGUAUUCAGACGACAGAGGUGAAAUUCUUGGACCGUCUGAAGACUGACUACUGCGAAAGCAUUUGCCAAGAGUGUUUUCAUUAAUCAAGAACGAAAGUUAGAGGUUCGAAGGCGAUCAGAUACCGCCCUAGUUCUAACCAUAAACGAUGCCAGCUAGCGAUCUGCCGAGUUUUUUUUGUAGGCUCCGCAGGAAGCUUUCGGGAAACCAAAGCUUUUGGGUUCCGGGGGAAGUAUGGUUGCAAAGCUGAAACUUAAAGGAAUUGACGGAAGGGCACCACCAGGAGUGGAGCCUGCGGCUUAAUUUGACUCAACACGGGAAAUCUCACCAGGCCCGGACACUGGAAGGAUUGACAGAUUGAGAGCUCUUUCUCGAUUCGGUGGGUGGUGGUGCAUGGCCGUUCUUAGUUGGUGGAGUGAUUUGUCUGGUUAAUUCCGAUAACGAACGAGACUCUGUCCUGCUAAAUAGUUGGGUCGUCCUUCGUGCGAUCCAAGUUCUUCUUAGAGGGACUGGCUGCGUCUAGCAGCACGAGAUUGAGCAAUAACAGGUCUGUGAUGCCCUUAGAUG